rnacentral:rRNA from 1 species
GGCGAACGGGUGAGUACACGUGAGUAACCUGCCCUUGACUCUGGGAUAAGCCUGGGAAACUGGGUCUAAUACCGGAUACGACCAUCUGGCGCAUGUCAUGGUGGUGGAAAGCUUUUGUGGUUUUGGAUGGACUCGCGGCCUAUCAGCUUGUUGGUGGGGUAAUGGCCUACCAAGGCGACGACGGGUAGCCGGCCUGAGAGGGUGACCGGCCACACUGGGACUGAGACACGGCCCAGACUCCUACGGGAGGCAGCAGUGGGGAAUAUUGCACAAUGGGCGCAAGCCUGAUGCAGCGACGCCGCGUGAGGGAUGACGGCCUUCGGGUUGUAAACCUCUUUCAGUAGGGAAGAAGCGAAAGUGACGGUACCUGCAGAAGAAGCGCCGGCUAACUACGUGCCAGCAGCCGCGGUAAUACGUAGGGCGCAAGCGUUAUCCGGAAUUAUUGGGCGUAAAGAGCUCGUAGGCGGUUUGUCGCGUCUGCUGUGAAAGACCGGGGCUCAACUCCGGUUCUGCAGUGGGUACGGGCAGACUAGAGUGCAGUAGGGGAGACUGGAAUUCCUGGUGUAGCGGUGAAAUGCGCAGAUAUCAGGAGGAACACCGAUGGCGAAGGCAGGUCUCUGGGCUGUAACUGACGCUGAGGAGCGAAAGCAUGGGGAGCGAACAGGAUUAGAUACCCUGGUAGUCCAUGCCGUAAACGUUGGGCACUAGGUGUGGGGGACAUUCCACGUUUUCCGCGCCGUAGCUAACGCAUUAAGUGCCCCGCCUGGGGAGUACGGCCGCAAGGCUAAAACUCAAAGGAAUUGACGGGGGCCCGCACAAGCGGCGGAGCAUGCGGAUUAAUUCGAUGCAACGCGAAGAACCUUACCAAGGCUUGACAUGAACCGGAAAGACCUGGAAACAGGUGCCCCGCUUGCGGUCGGUUUACAGGUGGUGCAUGGUUGUCGUCAGCUCGUGUCGUGAGAUGUUGGGUUAAGUCCCGCAACGAGCGCAACCCUCGUUCUAUGUUGCCAGCGCGUUAUGGCGGGGACUCAUAGGAGACUGCCGGGGUCAACUCGGAGGAAGGUGGGGACGACGUCAAAUCAUCAUGCCCCUUAUGUCUUGGGCUUCACGCAUGCUACAAUGGCCGGUACAAAGGGUUGCGAUACUGUGAGGUGGAGCUAAUCCCAAAAAGCCGGUCUCAGUUCGGAUUGGGGUCUGCAACUCGACCCCAUGAAGUCGGAGUCGCUAGUAAUCGCAGAUCAGCAACGCUGCGGUGAAUACGUUCCCGGGCCUUGUACACACCGCCCGUCAAGUCACGAAAGUUGGUAACACCCGA